GACGAACGCUGGCGGCGUGCUUAACACAUGCAAGUCGAACGAAGUGGCGAACGGGUGAGUAACGCGUAAUCAACCUGCCCUUCAGAGGGGGACAACAGUUGGAAAAGACUGCUAAUACCGCAUAGUGAAGGAGGGGAUUGCGGCUGAUUAGCUAGUUGGAGGGGUAACGACCCACCAAGGCGAUGAUCAGUAGCCCGUCUGAGAGGAUGAACGGCCACAUUGGGACUGAGACACGGCCCCGAAUCCUACGGGAGUCAGCAGUGGGGAAUCUUCCGCAAUGGACGAAAGUCUGACGGAGCAACGCCGCGUGAGUGAUGACGGCCUUCGGGUUGUAAAGCUCUGUUAAUCGGGACGCGGUACCGGAAUAGAAAGCCACGGCUAACUACGUGCCAGCCGCCGCGGUAAUAC
rnacentral:rRNA from 1 species